rnacentral:rRNA from 1 species
GACGUAGGGCGCGAGCGUUGUCCGGAAUUAUUGGGCGUAAAGAGCGUGUAGGCGGCCAGGUAGGUCUGCUGUGAAAACUCGAGGCUCAACCUCGAGACGUCGGCGGAAACCAUCUGGCUAGAGUCCGGAAGAGGAGAGUGGAAUUCCUGGUGUAGCGGUGAAAUGCGUAGAUAUCUGGAGGAACACCGGUGGCGAAGGCGGCAUCCUGGACCGACACUGACACUGAGGAGCGAAAGCCAGGGGAGCAAACGGG